UACCAGCACCCCGAGUGGUCGGGACGAUUAUUGGGCCUAAAGCAUCCGUAGCCGGUCAUGCAAGUCCUCCGUUAAAUCCAGCCGCUCAACGGUUGGGCUGCGGAGGAUACUACGUGGCUAGGAGGCGGGAGAGGCAAGCGGUACUCAGUGGGUAGGGGUAAAAUCCUUUGAUCCAUUGAAGACCACCAGUGGCGAAGGCGGCUUGCCAGAACGCGCUCGACGGUGAGGGAUGAAAGCUGGGAGCAAACCGG
rnacentral:rRNA from 1 species